CCGUGUUGUAGGCUACCACGGAUUUCUAAACGAGUGUACCACAUCUCAACGCCGAAUUGCAUUGGUGACUGGGAGUGUAGUUCUAACCAAAAGAGCGCUCCGUUGAAGGUAUUACACGAAGGCUACUAUGGGACUUCAGUAUCCAGAACGUGAAGCGUCUUUAAAGGGGUUUUGUUGUAGCUGGGACGCUCGUUCGUAAGUAUCAGACCGGUAAGGCACUGCGCAAAAUCACAAAUCUUAGUAGCAUGUGUACCUUCUGAACCGUUACCGUUUGACGGUUUACGUUGUUUUCACAUCGAGUAAUCUACACAGCAUCUUACCCUAGCUAGCUGUCGUCAACGAACAGUCUAUCUUCUAAUGUUUACUUGUUUCCAGCUCCGGCGUGUCCUCUAGUGAAACGUAGCCUAUCUUUGUCAUUAGACAUGUUUAUACGUAGGAUAUUCAUCCGUUAAUUAGAGCACCAUCUAUGUUUUAAUUUGCGGCAUCUGUUCCCAAGGAAAAGGAAUAUCUGUUGUCGAGAGUGAAUAGCGAACUGAGCUUAUUGUUCGUGAUGGCGAUGUUCCGCAGUUUUGUGUCCGCUACCCAGUUCCGACAGCAUCAGCAAGCGAGCGGGGCAUCCUCCGCCACGGCUCCAGGGGAGAGCGUCGAGAGCCAGUUCUCCUGCCCCAUAUGUCUGGAGGUCUACCACAAACCCGUCAGCAUUGCCAGCUGUGCUCACACGUUUUGUGGGGAGUGUCUCCAGCCCUGUCUGCAGGUGACCUCUCCUCUCUGCCCCCUGUGCCGGAUGCCCUUUGAUCCUAAGAAGGUGGACAAGUCCUCCAGUGUGGAGAAGCAGCUGUCCUCCUACAAGGCUCCCUGUAGAGGCUGCAGCAAGAAGGUGGCUUUAGUUAAAAUGAGGUCCCACAUCACCUCGUGUACGAAGGUACAGGAGCAAAUGGCCAACUGCCCUAAGUUUGUACCUGUGGUUCCCACAACACAGCCCAUCCCCAGUAAUAUUCCAAACCGCUCAACCUUUGUGUGUCCUUACUGUGGUGCCCGCCACCUGGACCAGCAGGAACUGGUCAAACAUUGCAUGGACAAUCACCGCAACGACCCCAACAAAGUGCAGGUGUGUCCUGUGUGCUCAGCCAUGCCCUGGGGAGACCCCAGCUACAAGAGCUCCAACUUCCUGCAGCACCUUCUCCACAGACACAAGUUCUGCUACGACACCUUUGUGGUAAGGAGGGGAGAUGGAGAGAUGGAGGAAGGGAGGGAAAGACAAUUGUAUUUUGCUGUGUCUAUUUGUGUGUAUGUGUGUGUACUACAGGACUACAGUAUUGACGAGGAAGCUGCUCUCCAGGCGGCGUUGGCUCUCUCCCUGGCAGAAAACUGAGUCCACCACACACACACCUUGCUGCCACGCCUAUCUCUGCCAUGCCCAUCUCUGUCACACCCCUCAGUGCCCCUGCCCCCAUCAGAUGUGUCCCACUCUGCGGUCAGAGAGAAAGCGACAGAGAAAGUGAGAGAGAGUGGUGUAUGAGAAGAUUCUUCCAACAGGGUUAGAAUCUUCAACAUCAGCAACAAUCCUCAUUGUUGUCGUUUCUAUGGAAACAUCUCAGCAUCAGGACCUCAGGACUGGCGUUGUGGUUCUGUCAAGACUCAACAAGCGAUGGUGUCCUGCAUUUGAGGAGAGUUGCAUCUGUCAGUGUUCCAGAGACUGCUGUGUGUUUGUCUUUGUUUGUGUUUGGCCUCUACACGCAGGUUGUGAUUGGCUGAGUUCUGCUGCCUGCUUUAGGCAUGACCAGAAGAUCACAGAUCUAUCCAUCAUUCAUGUAAACAUUGUCACAACCCAAACUACUGCCACCGCCUCAAAACAAUACCAACAAGCUACAACCUUUUUUAUUCUAGAUUUCUUGUGAAUACUAAUCAGCAUUUUCUACAUAAAUUAUCUGUAGUUCUUGGUAUACAGGGACAGACAUCUAGGAAUCAGUUUCUGCUUUAUCUACCUUUUACCUUGUUACCUUGCUGCAGUGAUAUUUUUAUGAUUCAUCACUACCAGAUAAAACAAAAAGAAGAUAUAUAUUUUUUGGAAGAAAACAAUGUUCAAAUGGUGCACUAUUAACAAGAAAGUAAAACACGUGUCUGAGGGGACUUUUACCUUCUUUUUACAUCUUACCAUUUGUACUGUUGUUGAGCAGUGUUCUGGCUCUGCCAGGGAGAGGGAGAGCAAGCAUAAACUCUGUACUGGUGUGGCGUAGUACACAUACUCAGUCACUUGAGGGAGCCACAUCCAUAGGAGUGGGCCUUCACCACCAACCAAGCUCCAGAGAUAAGGUUCUCUGCUGCUGUGCAGACAGGGCUAUAUUGCUGACUGAGGAAUGAUGGGUUUUUCUCAAAUUACAUUAGUGUGUGUCCGUGAAAAGAGAAGUGGGUAUUCUUUGUAGACCCUCAAUUACACUACUGUGUAGAUCUUACUCUUUCUGACCCCCCUCACCACAUGACAGAAAAUAACUGUGAGAGAGAUUGCACAGUGGUCUGAUCAGGUCAGAAUAAUGAUGUCUUAAUCAAAGGAUGCAUGUUUUCAUAAAGGCCUUUGAACUAAGAUGAACCUGUCCAUCUUUCCGACUGGCUUCAUGUAGACGUUCUAGUUCCUGACAGGGACUGAGAUCAUCAAAUACAGCAGGGACGAAGGGAGGGACUAAGAGAGAGGGAGGGAAAGAGGGAGAAGUUGUACAUGAUAGAGGAUGUGAGACUUUGCCAUGUCUCUGGUAUGGAAUGUGCAUUGUCGUGCUCUUUUAAUUUCCUCGCAAUAUCUUUCCUACACAAAGAAUGCAUUGAAAUAUGGCACUUUAUGAAUUCAUUCAAAAAUAUCUUUGAGAGAUGAGCAGGAAUUGUAUUCUAGUUAUUUUAGGUGUGACUGGAGAAACUGAAUGAGUGGAGAAUGCAUGAGCACCAUGUGUGUCCCUGUGUAGGAACCAGUGAGUGUUUCUGUCAAGUCACAGUAUGCAGUCAGUCAUUGUCAAUGAAGCAGUCAGUCGGUUCUGUUGUACAGAGCCAACUACCAGGCAGAUGUGAAAGCAGGAUAGAAUGGGCCUCUUGAUGAUUCUUAUACUAAGGUGGUCUGAACACUCAGUCUACUCAGGACCUGAUCCAUCUAACCCAGGUCUGCCUGGACCCCAAUGUUCUGAGGAAUGCAGAUGGAGCGGGUGACGAGGUGCAGACACGAGGAUGGUGAAGCAUGUCCCUCCUGGGACCCGGUGGAUGGGUCAGACAUCUCACUUUUUCUAGUUGAUUUACACAGAAGGUUAGUCGUUGAUAAGGACUCUUCUGAGUGUAUGUACGGUGUUGUCUGGUCCACAUUCCUGUCUAGAGCUGGAGCAUAUAUUUAGAUUUAUAAGACUUUGACUUUUGAUAUUGCAUUCUGUAUUGAAUUUGUUCCUAUUAUGUUAUAUGGAGCCUGCUUACCUUCCCUUAACUCCUCAUAAAUUGAUAUGUUUCAACCCUUUGUAUUGUUGCUCCCAUGGAUUGCCCAUAACAACCAUGAUAAACUGUAUCUUACUUAUGGUGUCCCAGGUCUAGGGCCUGGACCUAGCCUGGUUCUAGCUUGGCUUGGACAUCAGGAACACCUGAACCUUGCCCUAGGUCCUGGUACUUGCUUGUCGAACAGGACGCCGUUUUGGCCGGAGAGGAAGUGACUGGGUGCCAUCUUGUUUUCCUGACACUGCAGCAGAUGAGUCAGAUUUGCUUGGUUGUUCUGGUGCUCGGCCUUGGUCUGGUCCUAGUUCUAGCUAGAUCAUGUAGUAUUUGUUCCGUGUGAUUUCUUUGUUCUUUACCUAGUAAUAAUGGGCAUAGUAAAAGCAGUAUGAGUCAUGAUGCGAGCCAAGUGGCGUCUUCAGUUGUUCCACUGUUUCAACUUUAAUAAGAUAUUAUACUUAACUAUGUAUUUGUGGCAGGUUUUUUUCUCUCUGAAUAAACAAACACAGACCCCAUCCUAUCUGCCUGUGUGUAUUUUUUCCAGGACUCCGUCUUGUGUCUGCCUGUGUCUGUCUUACAGGACUCCUUCUGCCU